rfam:Nicotiana attenuata strain TT chromosome 1, whole genome shotgun sequence.
GUCCCUUCGGGGACAUCCGAUAAAAUUGGAACGAUACAGAGAAGAUUAGCAUGGCCCCUUAUCAAGGAUGACAGGCACAAAUCGAGAAAAAUUACAAGGCAAA